rnacentral:pre_miRNA from 1 species
AAUAACCUUAUUUUUCAUUUUUCCGUGUCCAACGUUUGACCAUUCGUUUUAUUUAAAAAUUUUUUGCAAAUAUUUUUAUUAUUACUAGAUGAUAAAAUAUGAAUAGUAUUUUAUACGUGACUAAUUUUUUUUUAAGUUUUUUAACAAAUUUUUUAAAUAAGACGAAUAGUCAAACGUUAGAUACGAAACAACA